UAAUAUUCUAUUGCCUGCCUCUUGUCUCCUCUCUCCUCUCCACUGCCCAACCCCCGCUCUCUCGAAUUCUAGGGUUCCCUAUUCGCCGAUCUGGUGAACCAAUCAUUGGUCGCCAAAUCUAGGGUGUCCGCAUCGGCUUUUCUUUAAACCCUUUCCGGAAACCUUGAUUGAAUGCGGUCUUGGAGAAGACUUGCUUCCGUCGUUUGAUUUCCGAGGAAUCGGUCCCAUCCCACGAGUAUACCAAAAAAAAAAAAACGAUUUUCGUUCUGCUUUGUUGGAUCAAUCUUCAAUUUGUUGAAUUUUUGUUCAUUUCUUCUAUCAAAGGCUUCAAGAUUUGGGGAGGGAUCGAGAGUGAGAGAGAGAGAGAGAGAGAGAGAGAGUUAGGGAUGAGCGAAAACCCUAACCCACCAGUGGACGUGAAGCCGGCGGCUGGCGGCCGCUUUGCGGGCCAUCACAUCCAUAAGCCGGUGGCUGCCCACCAUGUCCUCCCGGUCGUGGCGAUGCCUGCACAGAUUGACGACGGCGGUGGAGGCGGUGGAGAGUCGCAGUUGAUCGCCGCAGCCGACGCGCAGGCUCUUCGGCAGUACGAGGAGGCGGAGCACCACAGCGGUGUCGGUGUACAUGGGAUGGAGGAGGAUCGGGAUGUGGGGGGGGAUGGCGAGGGCAUGGAGGCGGAUGGUCAGGUCGAUCCGAGCAAUAUGGGGGACCCUCAUGCGGUGAUUGUCCACCAAGUCGGUGGCAACCAGCUUACACUCUCGUUCCAGGGUGAGGUCUAUGUGUUCGACUCCGUCUCCCCCGAAAAGGUUCAGGCCGUGCUUCUGUUGCUGGGAGAACGCGAGAUGAACGCUGCUUUAAAUUCUUUUCCAUCAUCUUCCCAUAUGCAUAACAAGCGCACAAAUUUUCCUCAUAGAGUCGCAUCGCUGAUGAGGUUUCGGGAGAAGAGGAAAGAGCGAAACUUUGACAAGAGAAUACGAUACAAUGUUCGCAAAGAGGUUGCCCUCAGGAUGCAACGAAACAAGGGCCAAUUCAUAUCAUCCAAAUCAAAGCCUGAAGAUUCAACAUCUGGUGUGACCAGUUGGGAUACUACCCAACAAUGGGGCUCACAGGAGAAUCGGCCACCUGCAGCGUCUGCAUGCCAUCAUUGUGGCAUUAGUGCAAAGUCUACACCAAUGAUGCGCCGUGGACCUGACGGACCGAGGACCUUAUGCAAUGCAUGUGGACUAGUGUGGGCAAAUAAGCUCUAGGCCUCACAGCAGAAUAUUGGUGUUGGCUUAAACUGGGAAUAAUGAGGGAUCUUUCAAAAAAUCCAUCUCCAGCCAUUCCAAAUGCCUUGUCGGAACCCAGGGAAGGGAAUAAUUCUGCUGAAUCAGGAGCUGCAGAACCGCUUGCGAUGACUGCCAAUGGUCAUGAUUCGUCGUGAGAAGUCCCGUGCUUUUGGCAUUAAGGAUUCCAAUGAAGAUAUGAAUAUUUAGUUGGGGAACUCGUCCCUUAAUGGCUUCUCAAGAUUGUAGAAUAUUGUCACACAUGUAUGUACAAUAUUAUCAGAAUAUUAGAUAUAGAAAUUUUCUUUGUUUUUUGUGGUCCCUAAGACUGUAACUUUGAUAAUAAUUUAAUUGUUAUGGAAAGAGUCACAGUUACACAUUCUAGUUUUCUCAAAC